AACGCACAUUGCGCCCCUUGGUAUUCCGGGGGGCAUGCCUGUUCGAGCGUCAUUAUAACCCUCAAGCCUAGCUUGGUGUUGGAGCCUGCCUCUGGGCAGCUCUUAAAAUCAGUGGCGGUGCCGUCUGGCUCUAAGCGUAGUAAUUUUUCUCGCUACAGGGCCCAGGCGGUUGCUUGCCAACAACCCCAAAUUUUCUAUGGUUGACCUCGGAUCAGGUAGGGAUACCCGCUGAACUUAA
rnacentral:misc_RNA from 2 species